rnacentral:rRNA from 1 species
UACGUAGGGGGCAAGCGUUGUCCGGAAUCAUUGGGCGUAAAGCGCGUGUAGGCGGCCUGGUAAGUCCGUUCUGAAAGCCCGGGGCUCAACCCCGGGAGGCGGAUGGAUACUGUCAGGCUAGAGUACGGAAGAGGCGAGUGGAAUUCCCGGUGUAGCGGUGAAAUGCGUAGAGAUCGGGAGGAACACCGGCGGCGAAGGCGGCUGCCUGGGCCA